GCGCGCGCGCGAGCAGAUGCAGGGCGCGCGAGGAGGAGGCGGCGGAGGAGAAGGAGAAGCGGGCUGCUGCUGCUGCUGCGGCGGAGAAGCGAAGCGGGGCUCGGGUUGUUGAACUAGAUAAACUCUGGGAAAUACAGAUUGCAAUCACUCAUCUCUGCUUAAGGUGUGGGGGCAAUCCAUACUUCCGCUACUGCCUGUCUACACUAAUUGCAUUGAUAACAGUCUUGAUUAAGUACUUUCCUAAUGGAUUUAUCUUGAGGCUGGGAAAAAAGAGAACCUUCUUCUAAUGCCUCAGAAACUUUAUUACUCAAGUAACCAG